rnacentral:rRNA from 1 species
UACGGAGGGGGCUAGCGUUGUUCGGAAUACUGGGCGUAAAGCGCACGUAGGCGGACCGGAAAGUUGGAGGUGAAAAUCCCAGGGCUCAACCUUGGAACUGCCUUCAAAACUAUCGGUCUGGAGUUCGAGAGAGGUGAGUGGAAUUCCGAGUGUAGAGGUGAAAUUCGUAGAUAUUCGGAAGGAACACCAGUGGCGAAGGCGGCUCACUGGCUCGAUACUGACGCUGAGGUGCGAAAGCGUGGGGAGCGAACAGG